GCUUCCUUAGUUUAAUGGUAGAACCCUGUCUUUACACGGCAGUUGCGGUAGUUCGAUUCUACCAGGAAGUA
rnacentral:tRNA from 1 species